rnacentral:rRNA from 1 species
UACGUGGCAUACGGCUCAGUAACACGUAGUCAACAUGCCCAGGGGACGUGGAUAACCUCGGGAAACUGAGGAUAAACCGCGAUAGGCCAUGAUUUCUGGAAUGGUUCAUGGCCGAAAUCUAUAUGGCCCCUGGAUUGGACUGCGGCCGAUCAGGCUGUUGGUGAGGUAAUGGCCCACCAAACCUGUAACCGGUACGGGCUCUGAGAGGAGGAGCCCGGAGAUGGGCACUGAGACAAGGGCCCAGGCCCUAUGGGGCGCAGCAGGCGCGAAAUCUCUGCAAUAGGCGAAAGCUUGACAGGGUUACUCUGAGUGGUUCCCGUUAAGGGGAUCUUUUGGCACCUUUAAAAAUGGUGCAGAAUAAGGGGUGGGCAAGUCUGGUGUCAGCCGCCGCGGUAAUACCAGCACCCCGAGUGGUCGGGACGAUUAUUGGGCCUAAAGCAUCCGUAGCCGGUACUGCAAGUCUUCCGUUAAAUCCACCUGCUUAACAGUUGGGCUGCGGGGGAUACUACAGCGCUAGGAGGCGGGAGAGGCAAGCGGUACUCAAUGGGUAGGGGUAAAAUCCGCUGAUCCAUUGAAGACCACCAGUGGCGAAGGCGGCUUGCCAGAACGCGCUCGACGGUGAGGGAUGAAAGCUGGGGGAGCAAACCGGAUUAGAUACCCGGGUAGUCCCAGCUGUAAAC